CCUACGGGGGGCAGCAGUGGGGAAUAUUGGUCAAUGGGCGAAAGCCUGAACCAGCCAAGCCGCGUGCAGGAAGAAGGUACAGGGAAUCGUAAACCUCUUUUGUACGGGGACAAAGACAGGGACUAGUCCCCGGAUGAGGGUACCGGACGAAAAAGCAUCGGCUAACUCCGUGCCAGCAGCCGCGGUAAUACGGAGGGUGCAAGCGUUCUCCGGAUUUAUUGGGGUUAAAGGGUGCGCAGGCGGGCUGGUAAGUCAGCGGUGAAAGCACGGGGCUCAACACCAGACGAGCCGUUGAAAUUGGCGGGCUGGAGUGGGAGAGAAGUACGCGGAAUGCGUGGUGUAGCGGUGAAAUGCUUAGAUAUCGCGCAGAACCCCGAUUGCGAAGGCAGCGUACUG
rnacentral:rRNA from 1 species